AUUUAUUUUUAGCUCUUCUAAACUUGCUCGGGUUAUUACAAAGUGUCAAUAGGAUGAGAUCAGGAGAAUAAGUCCAGGUGUCCUAUUUUGUAUUUUCCUGGAGAGUAACUUAAAUCAAAAAUUUAAAUCGGUUAAAUCAAGUUUACGAAUGUAAACCUGAUAUAGAAUGUAAAUAGACAGACAGACACACAUAUAGAUCAUGCUAUUUCUUUUUUGUUGUUCGAGAGCUGAUAAAAACUGAUAACAGUUGAGCCAAAGUUGUUAUUCGUGUAGAAGUUUUCUGUCAAUUCUUAAAAUUCCGUCAAAUUUGAAAGUCUGUAAAGGACCUUAAGAUAUAAUAUUAUACAGGUUAUUCUUUUUUAUUUUAGAUAGUUAUAUAUUUACCGUCGUUCAAGCUUGAAUAAUUAUUUGUCCGAGAACUUUUUAGGUUUUUUCAAUAAUAGUUUAAAUUGAGAUUUAGGCUUAAACUGUAUUCCAACGAUGCAUUGGUAUAGUUAAACAGAUUUUAAAUUUAAAUCUAAGUUUAAAUUGUUAUUGAAAAAUUUACUGUAAUGAGCAAUGUAUUCAUUAUGUAACUAUUCGGGUUUAAGAAGUACACGAGAAUGAUUUAGAAUCGAUUUUUCAAUAGUAGUUCAAACUUAGAUUUAAGUUUAAGCUAUGUUUCAACAAUGUAUUUGAUGUGUUUAUAAGUCGGAAACAACGUUAAUUAAUGAUCGCAGGUUAACUGCAAUCGUCGACUGCUACGAGCGACACUUUCGAUACGUAUCGUGCGUGCAAUCGUUUUCUGAUAAUUCGGUAAUUUGAGCAUCCCGAAUAUCCAGAAUAUUUGGAAAAUGUUGAUUGUCGUGAUUUUUCGAUCACCCGAUAUAUACAUUUGUUAUUGAUUGGUUGGGUAAGGUAACAGCCGUUCGCGCGGUUGCUUGUUGUUGACAUUAAUCUUCCUCACGGUGCUGACUGUUUUGAAUCUCACACGUCUCGCACUUGUGUUUUGCCAAACAUCAAUCGACGAUUAGUCGACAAGUAACCGCCGUGUCGUGUACAUGUAUAUUCGAGAUUCCUGUCAAACAAUUAAAAUCUUCCGCCGAAAUAGUUAAUCGGGGGCUUCCGUCGGGGCAUCGCGCGCGUUAGUUAACACACGUUUCUCUAAUCGAAUCGUAUCAGUGCCGUUGAGAACGGUUCCGUCUGGAACCACAAAGCAGCCAGGAGCAGGAAGCCACCAUGGAGGAUGCAGAACGCUGGAUGUGGGCAGCAAUAUUUCCAGAUCUGACGAGGGUUUGCGGCCACACGGCAAAAGCAAGCCCGGAGAAUGCAGGCUUUUGAAGCAGGCAAAUCCGGGGAUGCGGGUCUGGACGCAGAUGCAGCACCGGAGGUUCCGGUUCGGGCCAAGCAGGGUCGGCUCUAAAAUCUGAGUUGCGGAAUGUGGCCGCCCCUGAGUUCCCGCUGUUCUCG